rnacentral:tRNA from 1 species
AUCUGGGUGGCUCAGUCGGUUGAGCAUCUGACUUCAGCUCAGGUCAUGAUCUCACAGUUUGUGAGUUCGAGCCCCACAUCAGGCU